rnacentral:sRNA from 1 species
UAUCUCUAUUACACUGCUUUCACCAAUAUAUAUGGAUUAAAUAAGGGAAUGUUUGGUGAUGUUUGGGAAAAGUUCAUAUAAAUAUCUCAUAAGUUAGAGAGUACAAUUCAAAGUGAAAACCUAACGCGUACGUAACUUUGAAUUUGUUUGUCAGAAUAUUUAAAUAGCAGUGUAUUGAAUUCAUUUGUAGCAAGCCUGUAAAUUAGGAUUCGAUAUCUACGGACCGUGUACACGCAUUCUUUAGUAUUUUAUAAUGUCACAGCCACUUUUUGAUGGGCUUCAUUUCUAUCAGUUUAUUUAUUUCCGUGAAACUCAUGGUUCUCUCAUCGGUCGAUUUCUUACUGGGAUAGUACAAAACGGUUUCGAAUUACUCUGCAAUACUAUCAAAACAACCAAUCCAUGUUUUGUUCAUACUUUCAUGAUAUU